UUAUGUCUUGGAGCUGCUCCGGUCAGUGAAUGAUUUUCUGUGGCUUGGAGUGUAAGAAUGCUGGUGACUGAGUUAGAAGCAUGCUUCCAAGCUGUCCAUGUCCUUGGCAUCCAGAAGCGGAGCCUGGAAGCUUCCGAAUUUAUCCAGAAUGCGAUCUACAUUCACCUUCAGCAGUAAGGAUGGGGAGCAGAAGUGAAAAUCCCCUGCUUCACAGUUGAAGGUGCUUUUUUGUGCGAAACUGACCAAAGGUUGGAAAUCACUCAUCAGCGAUGCUGGCAAAUGAAGAGGCUUCUGGAUUGGGUGGGGCACUUGCUGUGACUUCCAGGUGACCUGCUGGCUGGGGGC